rnacentral:tRNA from 1 species
GGUCCUGUGGCCUAAUGGAUAAGGCGUCUGACUUCGAAUCAGAAGAUUGCAGGUUCGAAUCCUGCCAGGAUCG